GUACACUGGAAAUUCAUCAAAGUCAGAACAUUACAAUGAGCGUUCAUAAUUUUUCAAUAGACAGAUAAAUGUCAAAUGAUUAACUCGCUAGGAAAUUAAACAGCCACAAAGAUAAAUCAUUUAUUUAAGAGGCUAGCCACUGCAGAUCCGUGAAGAUCAUAACUAUAUUUGGCAAUCUUUAAAGGAAAAAUCAUAAAAUAAAUCGAAAAAUUGUUGAAAUUUUCAUCCUUGAGGAAUACAAUCGUAUUUUUGCAAUAAAAUAACUGCACUGCAACGAUAAGAAUUUUUGAGGUGAUCAUUUAACCGACGUGCAUAAUUACGAGCAUAUAUGGUUAAUUACGGUAUAUUCGAAAUGGUGAAUAUUUAAAAAAACAUCUGGUUUCUAAUUACGAAAGUAUUGUGUGAUAAUGUCGAUAACAAAGCAAGUUUUUAAUGUGUAGGAAAAUCCUUCAAAAAUUGCCAAAGAUAUCUAUAUUAUUCAUGCUUCCAAGUAAACUUUAACAUGUAGCUACUGAAAUUCUUUGGAAGCUUGAUUUCUUUGGUAAUUGUAUGUAUCUUUAUUUAUGUAUAUGAUGAUCAGAUCUACAUAUUUCACAGAGAAUGAGAACAACUUCAGCAAAGUUCUACAUUGAGGAUACAGGUGACAUCUUUUAAUAUCAUACACGUGCGCACAUUCGCGAAAAAUGUGGAUCUUGUGAGAGGAUUAUGUAAGUGCUAUUUGAAAAAAUCACGGGCAGCCUCGUGAAUAUUCUGCUUAACUGGUAUUGUGAAUCUGAAGGGGAUGCUACACGUGUAUCUUUUCUACUUUGAUGCUAGAGAUCUAAUAACUUUUGGGGUUCGGUUGCCGCAAUGCAGUCAGCUAUUUGCCCUUAUCCGAUAACAAAUAUCAAUGCAUAGUAAUUUGAAUUUUAAUGGUCUGUCACGGAAUGUAUAAAUAUUUUGUUGUAUUUUUAGGCACGAAAACUUAUACAAUAAUUUUACCAAAGUAAACAGUAUUAUGCAUGCAACAGGCAAUUACUAAUUCAUUAAUUACUAUCACAUGUACCUUUUUGACUGAUCUUUCGACAAAGAGUCGGCGCCAGGCUGCUCAGAUGGUUUAAGCGGGGUCGAAAGCUGCAGUUCACCGUUCCAAGACUGUACGGAUUGAAAGGAUCGCCGCACCUUGGAUCGUAUGCGCUGUUGCAUUUGUAGCAUAUUAUUGCUUCUCCUGAAAAAUGAAUUUUAUAUCAAACGCCAAGCAAAAAUGGAGAUAUUCUAUCUAAUAUUAAUAUUCAAAUCCAACUUAUACCAUAAGAAUUUUUUAUGAACAAUUAUAUAGAUAUUGAUUGAAUUUUAGAAUAAUUGAAAAAAAUAAUGGAAGAAAGAAAUUAAGAGGAAAGAAUUCUUUUAUAAAUCACAAUAAACUGGAUUUUUGUUUCGUAAUUAUAUGCUAAAAUACCAGGCUAUUCUAUUGAUUAUAAUAGGAUAGGUGAGGAUUUAGAAGUGCUGAAAUCAUUUUAUAGGUUGUGGCUCCUUUCGCACUGCUCUUAUCACAUUCUUCAACUUACUCAAAACUAGGCCACUAAUGUGUAGGUGCUUGUUACGAUACAUGUAUGCAAUUAAUCUGUUAGUGUCUAUUAAAAGCUUUAGAAUGUAGAUAAACAUGCGAAAGGACUGUCGAUAAUUGUUUUCAAUUGAAAUACAUCAUCGUAAAACAAUGAACAGGUACAAUAAACUGAAAAAAGUUAUCUAUUCUUUAUUAAGAAUUAUUUUAUUAUGAAUUAUCCUGAAGAUUAAGAUUCAGGAUAAACGUUGAUGAGUAUUUUUGAUGGUAUCUAAUGUUUCAUAACGAUUCCACAUUGUAAGGUAAUUUCGUUGAUCGGUUAAUGGAAAUUUAAUUUCUUCUAGAAAUGACCAUUUUGCUUGGAAUUCAAGACGCUUCGUUUACGAAGUUCUGGUGAUUCGCUACGGCCCUGCCGCGUUGUGACGUCACCACGCAACCCCAUUCACCCUCCCAACAAGUCUGGUUACAGCACCAGCUGAUAUCGAGCAGGAAGACCCCGACCAAUGCGCGCGAUGACCUACUGAUACACACAUAAGAAAAUAGGUCUAACGAUAGAAGAAUAAAUGUUGCAAAUUUUAGCAAUAGAAAUUUAUUUGGAAACGGUAUAUUUGACGGUUAUAACUUUUUAAACUUUCACUUUUGCAAAAUUGAAACGUUACAUUUUAAUGAAUUGUUUAACAGAAAAAUUAAAAAACACUCUUACUUUUAUGCUUGUCUGAAAGGUUUUCUAUACAUAUUUCUUACUUUGUUAACAGAAUCUGUUAAAGAGAAGAGUAUCGAUUAUGGUUUAAUGGAUCAUGCGUAAUUUGGUAAAAGAAAAUGUUUCGUUAUUAAUUAAAAAAUAAAAUUGUGUAAACGAGA